rnacentral:rRNA from 1 species
CCAAUAGCGUAUAUUAAAGUUGUUGCAGUUAAAAAGCUCGUAGUUGAAUUUCGGGAUCAAUAUGUCGGUCGUGCCUCGGUACGUACUGGCGUCAUUGGUUUCCCCCUUCUGAAGAACCGCGAUGUCAUUAAUUUGGUGUCGUGGGGAAUCAGGACUGUUACUUUGAAAAAAUUAGAGUGUUUAAAGCAGGCUCGCGCUUGAAUACAUUAGCAUGGAAUAAUGAAAUAGGACGUUUGAUUCUAUUUUGUUGGUUUCUAGGAUCGACGUAAUGAUUAAUAGGGAUAGUUGGGGGCAUUAGUAUUCAAUUGUCAGGGGUGAAAUUCUUGGAUUUAUUGAAGACUAACUACUGCGAAAGCAUUUGCCAAGGAUGUUUUCAUUAAUCAAGAACGAAAGUUAGGGGAUCGAAGACGACCAGAUACCGUCGUAGUCUUAACCAUAAACUAUGCCGACUAGGGAUCGGAUGAUGUUGAUUUUUUAAUGACCCAUUCGGCGCCUUAC